rnacentral:rRNA from 1 species
GAGGAAAGGUGGUGCAAGCCACCGCUUUUCGACGAGCCUAUCUCCUAUCAGCUAGUUGGUGAGGUAAUGGCUCACCAAGGCUAUGACGGGUAGCUGGUCUGAGAGGAUGAUCAGCCACACUGGAACUGAGACACGGUCCAGACUCCUACGGGAGGCAGCAGUGGGGAAUUUUGGGCAAUGAGCGAAAGCUUGACCCAGCGACACUGCGUGGGCGAUGAAGAUCUUUGGAUUGUAAAGCCCUUUUAUGGAAGAGUAAGGAGAUGGUUAGGAAAUGAGCUGUCUCUUGCAAGUAUUUCAUGAAUAAGCCCCAGCCAACUACGUGCCAGCAGCUGCGGUAAUACGUAGGGGGCAAGCGUUGUCCGGAAUUACUGGGUGUAAAGGGUGUGCAGGCGUCCUUUUAAGUUGGUUGUGAAAACCCGGAGCUCAACUCCGGAACUGCAGCCAAUACUGAA